GACGAACGCUGGCGGCGUGCUUAACACAUGCAAGUCGAACGGAAAGGCCCUGCUUUUGUGGGGUGCUCUAGUGGCGAACGGGUGAGUAACACGUGAGUAACCUGCCCUUGACUUUGGGAUAACUUCAGGAAACUGGGGCUAAUACCGGAUAGGAGCUCCUGCUGCAUGGUGGGGGUUGGAAAGUUUCGGCGGUUGGGGAUGGACUCGCGGCUUAUCAGCUUGUUGGUGGGGUAGUGGCUUACCAAGGCUUUGACGGGUAGCCGGCCUGAGAGGGUGACCGGACACAUUGGGACUGAGAUGCGGCCCAGACUCCUACGGGAGGCAGCAGUGGGGAAUAUUGCACAAUGGGCGGAAGCCUGAAGCAGCAACGCCGCGUGCGGGAUGACGGCCUGCGGGUUGUAAACCGCUUUCGCCUGUGACGAAGCGUGAGUGACGGUAAUGGGUAAAGAAGCACCGGCUAACUACGUG
rnacentral:rRNA from 1 species